UGUUUCGGCUAGGGGGUCAUCCCGACUUACCAACCCGAUGCAAACUGCGAAUACCGAAGAAUGUUAUCACGGGAGACACACGGCGGGUGCUAACGUCCGUCGUGAAGAGGGAAACAACCCAGACCGCCAGCUAAGGUCCCAAAGUCAUGGUUAAGUGGGAAACGAUGUGGGAAGGCACAGACAGCCAGGAUGUUGGCUUAGAAGCAGCCAUCAUUUAAAGAAAGCGUAAUAGCUCACUGGUCGAGUCGGCCUGCGCGGAAGAUGUAACGGGGCUAAACCAUGCACCGAAGCUGCGGCAGCGACACUAUGUGUUGUUGGGUAGGGGAGCGUUCUGUAAGCCGUUGAAGGUGUGCUGUGAGGCAUGCUGGAGGUAUCAGAAGUGCGAAUGCUGACAUAAGUAACGAUAAUGCGGGUGAAAAACCCGCACGCCGGAAGACCAAGGGUUCCUGUCCAACGUUAAUCGGGGCAGGGUGAGUCGACCCCUAAGGCGAGGCCGAAAGGCGUAGUCGAUGGGAAACAGGUUAAUAUUC
rnacentral:rRNA from 1 species